UGCUGUGCCACCGGGCUGGCCCCUGGACACUUCUAAUAUAUUAAAAAAAUUUUUGAAAUCCUGAAACUUUAGCGUUAUUUUUGGACUUAUUUUAGGAAUCUUCCAGCUCAGGACAAUUAAAAACAAAUCUUCCUUUACUUGUUGUGUCCAUUUGAUUUGCUCUGGGGCCUUUAAGAUGACCAGUCACCACUAUGCUAAAACAUUUGUCUCUGUCCUACAUAGCUAUCAUCUUUUCUCACGUUAUUAUUAUAUUUUACUUUUUUUCCUGUGUAUUUUGGUAGUGGGUUUUCAAGUUUGUUGUCCUUAUUGGAAGGCAAUUGUUUGAUUUCUGUAUCGUUAAUCUUGUCCUUUACAGCUUGAAAUGUGCUGGCACUUUGGCUAUUGUAUUCCAGAUUCCUUCUCUUCUUUCCUUACCUCCUCCAGCUACCAUUUUACUUUUGGCUGUGGCUCAGCCAAUUCAUAAUCCCAUUUUUUAUCUCAUUGCAGAAGUUAUGUUUCCUUGAAAUGAGAGUAGAACAGCUGCUGUCUACGGAGCAUCUUUCUUUUUCUUCUAAUAAUUUUCCCCACAGCACGCUCUGCCUCUGCAUCUUCAGUGUGGUGCUCCCCUCUUUGUGUGUGGCAGAGCCAACUUCUCUUUAAUUCCUGUUCAAACCGGUCUGUGCAGGCUUCCCCUCCAUUUACUCUCAUCCCAACCCUGGCAAGACUGUCCAGAUUGUGGAAUGACAGAAUGUGACCACUGAGGGUGUCAUAACGUCCCUGUAACCAGCACUUUGUGACUAAACAGUUGAGAGACAUCCUUGGAAUCUGGAGUUCUGCUCAUGUGAGCAAAGGAGAACCAGCAAGCUUACUCUCUACAUAAUUGGGACAACAUGUGUUCCUGACGCUUCCUGCUACCACUUCUACCACUACCCCAGUGUCUCUGGGUGUCCCCUUUUGAGAACUCUUCCUCACGCUGGGGUUUCCUCCUUCUGCAGCUUGGCAGAGGCCUCUUCCUCAGUCCCCCUUUCUCCAUCAUCACCCCCUAUCAGGAAAGCUUCGGCUAGCAGACCCGCCAUGGCCUCGGGCGCCUCUCACCUAGCGAUCCCAAAAUCACUGGGCAGGCUUGAAUGAGGAGAAGCUUAAAAUCUCAGCCACGAGGGCCCACGCAGAGCUGGGCGCGCACAAGCACCACCUACCGGGUGAAGCUCCCUGCAAAGCCCAUGAAAAAGACCUUGGAUUUGCUAUAUUUCGAUGGGAACAUGAAUCAGUGGGUGAGCCACAAAACAUCUGAAAGACAGAGAGAGAGGGAGGGUAAAGAAGGGAGGUGGGGGAGAAAGAAAGAGAGAGACAGAGAACAAGGUCUGGGUGGAGGAGUCAGAGACGUCAGCCGGGCAGAAGGAGCAGGUGGGCUGGGGCUCACAGAGGCAUUUGCUGGACAGCUGGGACCAGGCCUGCGGGCCACACCUUAGCUGACAGAAGCCGGGGAGCGGGGGUGGGGGGGGGGAACGUGGACUAACAGAUGAGAAGGGGAAGAGCAAACAGAAGUUCCCUAAGGGAGACAAGUAAACAGACACACCUGCCAGCCCACCGGAUAAGCCAUCCUUUGACGUACAAAGAGAAAUGCACAACGUAGACCCCCUGCUCAUAACAAAUGGACAGAGGUCACUGUGUCCGGCAAUUUUAAUUACCUACUAUAUGUUCCAGGAGGGCAGGAAUCCUGUCCAUUUUGCAUACUGCUGUAUCCCUAGCACCCAAGAUAGACCUGACUCAUAGAAGGAUGAGAGAGCCUGAGCCUGUCAGUGGCUGAAGUGACCAAGGAUCACAGAGGAGGAGGAGCUGGAGAUAAGAUGGAGGAGGUGCCAGGAAAGAACAAGAAAUACCCUGGGGGCCUCGGAGGCUUUGGUUAGUUUCCAUAAGCGAAAUCAAUGCAGUGCGAGACUUUCUCAGCUCAAUAACUUAUUAGCAAUUUUUAAUUACUGGAUGUAAUUAAUUCAUCCGAAGUACAGCGGUUCUGUGAAGCACACCAUACGUGCUGCACUGAUAACAUUCUUGCACAUUUGCAGGGUGCUCACAUCAAGACAUUUUCUUGCAUAAAACCUAGAGGAAACAGCCAAAGAACACGCAUUUUUGUUUUAAAUCGUGUUUCUUGAUCCUAGAAAAAGAUAACUAUA